rnacentral:rRNA from 1 species
AACGAGCGCAACCCCUGCAUUCAGUUGCCAUCGGGUGAAGCCGGGCACUCUGGAAGGACUGCCAUCGACAAGAUGGAGGAAGGUGGGGACGACGUCAAGUCAUCAUGGCCCUUAUGUCCAGGGCGACACACGUGCUACAAUGGCCGGCACAACGGGAAGCGAGUCGCGAGGACGAGCGGAUCCCUUAAAGCCGGUCGCAGUUCGGAUUGAAGUCCGCAACUCGACUUCAUGAAGCUGGAAUCGCUAGUAAUCGCAGAUCAGCCAAGCUGCGGUGAAUACGUUCCCGGGCCUU